rnacentral:rRNA from 1 species
GACGAACGCUGGCGGCGUGCUUAACACAUGCAAGUCGAACGGAAAGGCCCUGCUUUUGUGGGGUGCUCGAGUGGCGAACGGGUGAGUAACACGUGAGUAACCUGCCCUUGACUGUGGGAUAACUUCAGGAAACUCGGGCUAAUAUCGGAUAUGAUCUCCUGCUGCAUGGGGUUGGUUGGAAAAUUUCGGCGGUUCGGGCUGGACUCGCGGGUUACGCGCUUGAUGGGGUGGUAGUUGCUUACCAGGGGUUUGAAGGGUAGCCGGCCUGAGAGGGUGAACGGCCACAAUGGGACUGAGAGACGGCCCAGACUCCUACGGGAGGCAGUAGUGGGGAAUCUUGCAGAAUAGGCGGAAGCGUGAUGCAGCAACCUCGGGUGCGGGAUGCCGGCUUUUGGGUUGUAAACAGCUUUCGAAGGUGACGAAGCGUGAGUGACGGUAAUGGGUAAAGAAGCACCGGCUAACUACGUG